rnacentral:rRNA from 1 species
GCGUGAGUGAUGAAGGCCUUAGGGUUGUAAAGCUCUUUCACCCACGACGAUGAUGACGGUAGUGGGAGAAGAAGCCCCGGCUAACUUCGUGCCAGCAGCCGCGGUAAUACGAAGGGGGCUAGCGUUGUUCGGAAUUACUGGGCGUAAAGCGCACGCAGGCGGCGAUCCAAGUCAGGAGUGAAAGCCCUGGGCUCAACCCGGGAAUUGCUCUUGAUACUGGAUUGCUGGAAUCACGGAGAGGGUAGUGGAAUUCCGAGUGUAGAGGUGAAAUUCGU